UGUACGCGAGACGGUCACUCAUUCGCGUGACUGCCUCAUCACAGACAGGGAAAUUCUGCUUGUCACACAAAAACGCGUCUAAAAGUGUUAUUUAUUAAAAAAAUAAAACAAAAUUUGCUAGUCAUUGAUAGGUGUUCAAGUUAAUAGCUACAUUUUGAGCAGAUAUGAAAUUAAAUCCAAGUUUAUUUGCAGUUUCAAACCAUAAGUGGAAAUUAUCUAGUAGCCCACGGACAUUAUUUGAUUGCCCGAAAUGAAACCUGACUUAUCCCGGGCGUCGGGUGAUGGGAUUUUUGAACCCCUGAAUAUGGCAACAAACGUUUCACAUUACCAUUUUGUUUUGUUUUCAAAUUGUGGUAAAUGAUAAACACUAGGGAUGUAAGAUACAUUUGUUGCAGGAUCAUCCCUUGGGAAUGUAGUUUGAAGCAAUCUUCAGAUACACAAUCGACAUGUUUUUGAGCAGAGUACAACUUACUGACUCCUCAUGUGAUUUUCUGGUCUGGGGGUUAGAUUUUUGUAUGAAGACUAAAUAUAUUAAUUAAAACUAUGAGCCUUAAUACUGUAUUAUGGAAAACUCUUGCAACAAGGUAUUAUUGGUGCCAGACAAAGAGUUUGAAGCAUAUUCCUUUUUCAAGUAUCCUUUUUUUUUAUUGUUUCAAUAAAGUUGUCAAGUAUUUCGUUUUUCAAUAAAAUUCCAGCCAUUUAAUUUCCCACCCCCACCGUCUAUGAUAUUGGUGUGUGGGUAGGUUUAUAUUGGUAGCAUUGUAUUAUUCCCAGGAUGUUUCUAUGGAAGUGAGAGGACAACGUUCUCAUCAGUACACCAGCAUUGGUCCCCAAGUUUUCCUGAGGGAACUUUCUUCAGUUGAGCUUGACCUUUUAUAGGGACCUAUCAUUUAUUAUAGGUGUGGUAUGGGGGUCGGGUUAGGCCGUCUUGAAAACAAUGGUCCUCUUCUGAUGCUUCUAUUUAUUUUCGUCCUCCUAGAAAAGUUAAAGCAAAAAAAACCCAAAAGACAAAACAUCCCAAUUCGUUAGAACUGUUAGAACACAGUGUCAUUUUGAGGGGAGUAACUCUCCUUGUUCCCAUCUACACCCCCAAUGACAUAAAUGACUGAUACCUAAAUGGUUGCAGAUUACCGGUUCUGUCUAUAUGUUUUUAUGUAUCACUUGCAGUUUGACUUGUACAUAUACACUUCUAUUGUGAUCGAUCGUUAUAAUUCCUUUGUUAAAUAAAUGACAUCAAAUGAUG